rnacentral:rRNA from 1 species
GUUUGAUCCUGGCUCAGGACGAACGCUGGCGGCACGCUUAACACAUGCAAGUCGAACGGAGAACAUUGAGCUUGCUUAAUGUUCUUAGUGGCGGACGGGUGAGUAACACGUGAGUAACCUGCCUCUGAGAGUGGGAUAGCUUCUGGAAACGGAUGGUAAUACCGCAUAACAUCAUGGAUUCGCAUGUUUCUAUGAUCAAAGAUUUAUCGCUUAGAGAUGGACUCGCGUCUGAUUAGCUAGUUGGUAAGGUAACGGCUUACCAAGGCGACGAUCAGUAGCCGGACUGAGAGGUUGAUCGGCCACAUUGGGACUGAGACACGGCCCAGACUCCUACGGGAGGCAGCAGUGGGGAAUAUUGCACAAUGGGGGAAACCCUGAUGCAGCGAUGCCGCGUGGAGGAAGAAGGUUUUCGGAUUGUAAACUCCUGUUGAAGAGGACGAUAAUGACGGUACUCUUUUAGAAAGCUCCGGCUAACUACGUGCCAGCAGCCGCGGUAAUACGUAGGGAGCGAGCGUUGUCCGGAAUUACUGGGUGUAAAGGGAGCGUAGGCGGGAUGGCAAGUCAGAUGUGAAAACUAUGGGCUCAACCCAUAGACUGCAUUUGAAACUGUUGUUCUUGAGUGAGGUAGAGGUAAGCGGAAUUCCUGGUGUAGCGGUGAAAUGCGUAGAGAUCAGGAGGAACAUCGGUGGCGAAGGCGGCUUACUGGGCCUUUACUGACGCUGAGGCUCGAAAGCGUGGGGAGCAAACAGGAUUAGAUACCCUGGUAGUCCACGCC